rnacentral:rRNA from 1 species
GACUCUCGGCAACGGAUAUCUAGGCUCUUGCAUCGAUGAAGAACGUAGCGAAAUGCGAUACUUGGUGUGAAUUGCAGAAUCCCGUGACCCAUCGAGUCUUUGAACGCAAGUUGCGCCCGAUGCCAUUAGGUUGAGGGCACGUCUGCCUGGGUGUCA